AGACGGAGGGUGCAAGCGUUGUCCGGAAUUAUUGGGCGUAAAGCGUUCGUAGGCGGCCUGCCCAGUCUGAUGUUAAAGCCCGAGGCUCAACCUCGGUUCAGCAUUGGAUACUGGCAAGCUAGAGUACAGAAGAGGCAAGGGGAAUUCCUAGUGUAGCGGUGAAAUGCGUAGAUAUUAGGAGGAACACCAGUUGCGUAAGCGCCUUGCUGGGCUGUUACUGACGCUGAGGGACGAAAGCCAGGGUAGCGAAUGGGAUUAGAUACCCCAGUAGUCCUGGCCGUAAACGAUGGAUACUAGGUGUCGCGGGUAUCGACCCCUGCGGUGCUGCAGUUAACGCAAUAAGUAUCCCGCCUGGGGAGUACGCACGCAAGUGUGAA
rnacentral:rRNA from 1 species